rnacentral:misc_RNA from 1 species
UGUCGAGACUAAGCCUCUG